GACGAACGCUAGCGGCGUGCCUAAUGUAUGCAAGUCGCGCGAGGCCUUCGGGCCGAGCGGCGAACGGUUGAGUAACACGUCGGCAACCUGCCCCGGAGUGGGGAAUAACGCAGCGAAAGUUGCGCUAAUACCGCAUGUGGCCCUGGACCGCCUGGUCGAGUGGCUAAAGCCGCAAGGCGCUCCGGGAGGGGCCGGCGGCCUAUCAGCUUGUUGGUGGGGUAACGGCCUACCAAGGCUUCGACGGGUAGCUGGUCUGAGAGGAUGGUCAGCCAGACAGGGACUGAGACACGGCCCUGACUCCUUUGGGGGGCAGCAAUGAGGGAUAUUGCGCAAUGGGGGCAACCCUGACGCAGCGACGCCGCGUGGGUGAUGAAGUCCUUCGGGAUGUAAAGCCCUUUUGCCGGGGACGAGAACGGACGGUACCCGGCGAAUAAGCCCCGGCUAACUACGUGC
rnacentral:rRNA from 1 species